AAAUUGAAGAGUUUGAUCAUGGCUCAGAUUGAACGCUGGCGGCAGGCCUAACACAUGCAAGUCGAACGGUAACAGGAAGCAGCUUGCUGCUUUGCUGACGAGUGGCGGACGGGUGAGUAAUGUCUGGGAAACUGCCUGAUGGAGGGGGAUAACUACUGGAAACGGUGGCUAAUACCGCAUAACGUCGCAAGACCAAAGAGGGGGACCUUCGGGCCUCUUGCCAUCAGAUGUGCCCAGAUGGGAUUAGCUUGUUGGUGAGGUAACGGCUCACCAAGGCGACGAUCCCUAGCUGGUCUGAGAGGAUGACCAGCCACACUGGAACUGAGACACGGCCCAGACUCCUACGGGAGGCAGCAGUGGGGAAUAUUGCACAAUGGGCGCAAGCCUGAUGCAGCCAUGCCGCGUGUAUGAAGAAGGCCUUCGGGUUGUAAAGUACUUUCAGCGGGGAGGAAGGUGUUGUGGUUAAUAAC
rnacentral:rRNA from 1 species